rnacentral:tRNA from 1 species
GGGUAGCUCAGUGGUAGAGUUCUUGCUUAGCAUGUGUGAGGCUCUGGGUUCAAUCCCCAGUACCCC